CCUACGGGUGGCAGCAGUGGGGAAUAUUGCACAAUGGAGGAAACUCUGAUGCAGCAACGCCGCGUGGAGGAUGACACUUUUCGGAGCGUAAACUCCUUUUAUAUAGGAAGAUAAUGACGGUACUAUAUGAAUAAGCACCGGCUAACUCCGUGCCAGCAGCCGCGGUAAUACGUAGGGGGCGAGCGUUGUCCGGAUUUACUGGGCGUAAAGGGUGAGUAGGCGGUAGUAUGUGUCAGAUGUAAAAGGCUAAGGCUUAACCAUAGUUAGCAUUUGAAACUGUAUUACUUGAGUGCAGGAGAGGUAAGCGGAAUUCCUAGUGUAGCGGUGAAAUGCGUAGAUAUUAGGAGGAACACCAGUGGCGAAGGCGGCUUACUGGACUGUAACUGACGCUGAGUCACGAAAGCGUGGGUAGCAAACAGGAUUAGAUACCCUUGUAGUC
rnacentral:rRNA from 1 species